ACGGCUCAGUAACACGUGGACAACCUACCCUAUGGAGGGGGAUAACCCCGGGAAACUGGGGAUAAUACCCCAUAGACUAUGGAAGCUGGAAUGCUCUGUAGUUGAAAGGUCCGCCGCCAUAGGAUGGGUCUGCGGCCGAUUAGGUUGUUGUUGGGGUAACGGCCCAACAAGCCUGUAAUCGGUACGGGUUGUGGGAGCAAGAGCCCGGAGAUGGAUUCUGAGACACGAAUCCAGGCCCUACGGGGCGCAGCAGGCGCGAAAACUUUACAAUGCGGGAAACCGUGAUAAGGGAACUCCGAGUGCCCGUAAAAUCGGGCUGUCCAUCUGUUUAAAUAACAGGUGAAGAAAGGGCCGGGCAAGACCGGUGCCAGCCGCCGCGGUAAUACCGGCGGCUCGAGUGGUGGCCACUAUUACUGGGCUUAAAGCGUUCGUAGCUGGUCUGUUAAGUCUCUGGGGAAAUCUACUGGCUUAACCAAUAGACGUUUCAGGGAUACUGGCAGACUAGGGACCGGGAGAGGUGAGAGGUACUCCAGGGGUAGGAGUGAAAUCCUGUAAUCCUUGGGGGACCACCUGUGGCGAAGGCGUCUCACCAGAACGGCUCCGACAGUGAGGGACGAAAGCUGGGGGAGCAAACCGGAUUAGAUACCCGGGUAGUCCCAGCCGUAAACGAUGUGCGUUAGGUGUAUCGAUGACCACGAGUCAUCGAGGUGCCGAAGAGAAAUCGUGAAACGUACCGCCUGGGAAGUACGGUCGCAAGGCUGAAACUUAAAGGAAUUGGCGGGGGAGCAC
rnacentral:rRNA from 1 species